rnacentral:rRNA from 1 species
UACGUAGGGGGCAAGCGUUGUCCGGAUUUAUUGGGCGUAAAGAGCGUGUAGGCGGCUAGACAGGUCCGCUGUGAAAACUCGAGGCUCAACCUCGAGACGUCGGUGGAAACCGUUUGGCUAGAGUCCGGAAGAGGAGAGUGGAAUUCCCGGUGUAGCGGUGAAAUGCGCAGAUAUCGGGAAGAACACCCGUGGCGAAGGCGGCUCUCUGGGACGGUACUGACGCUGAGACGCGAAAGCGUGGGGAGCGAACAGG